GGGGAAUAUUGCACAAUGGGCGCAAGCCUGAUGCAGCAACGCCGCGUGAGGGACGACGGCCUUCGGGUUGUAAACCUCUUUUGGCAGGGAAGAAGCGAAAGUGACGGUACCUGCAGAAAAAGCACCGGCUAACUACGUGCCAGCAGCCGCGGUGAUACGUAGGGUGCAAGCGUUGUCCGGAAUUAUUGGGCGUAAAGAGCUCGUAGGCGGUUUGUCGCGUCAGCUGUGAAAACCCGAGGCUCAACCUCGGGCCUGCAGUGGGUACGGGCAAACUAGAGUGCGGUAGGGGAGAUUGGAAUUCCUGGUGUAGCGGUGGAAUGCGCAGAUAUCAGGAGGAACACCGAUGGCGAAGGCAGAUCUCUGGGCCGUAACUGACGCUGAGGAGCGAAAGCAUGGGGAGCGAACA
rnacentral:rRNA from 1 species